CUCCUCUGUUCUGCAUUAGAUCCGGGCGUGUGUGAGUGUGUUGCAUCAAGUCAUCUUCAUUGCCCAAAACUAUGAAAAUUUGCCAAACAGAAGCCCUUUUAAACUGAUAUCAUCAUAAGUAAAUUGACACAGCUCAAGUAUUUUACAUUUUCAUUACUAUUGAGGGCUUUCUUAAUUGUGAAAUAAGAAAAGUUUAUGCAUAUACAUUGAUUUUUAUAUUGAAUAUUUUACUCUCAUUAUAUUUAAGAGAAAAAAGAGUCACAUGAUCUCUUACUAAAUUAGCUCCUAUGAAAUUGAACUCAAAUUGAAGUACAAAACACUGCCAUUUUUCUUACUGAAUUAAUUUUCUCCGGUUCAAUAAAUUUUGUGGGGAGGGCUACCACUUAAAUAUCAAAACAGAGAUGAAGAGAGAUCAUCUACACUCUCUUUUCAUUUUGGAUGUGAUUUAGAGUCUGAACUUUUCUCUUAUUAUUGGCAUAUAUGUUCAUGGGAUUAGAAGCUUUCUCUGCAGAGAAAACACACUUGUAAUAAACAGGUUCAUGGAGAAUGAAGUUGAAGAAGAGAAGUGGAAUAAGUUUUGGUACGAGACAAAGAUGGAGUCCUACCAUUGGUAGAUCAAGGCUCAAAAAAAAGGGGGAAAAUAAAAAAAGAAAACGUGACCGCUUCAUUGUCAUAUUUUAAUGCCAGAAUGAUAAAUUAUCUUACUACUCUGCUUUUGCAUACAAUGGCUUCUCCUUUUGAAAUCACAGGGGACUAUCCACAUUCAUACAUAGGAAAUAUCUGGGGUAAGACUGUCUUUACAUUUGGAUGAUUUGAUGCUCGAACUUAGAGGCUAUGCUUAUAGUACGGAGAUUGGUGAACUUUUCUGUGAUAUAAUUGACAUUGGCGGGUUUAUUCAUUAUUCCAAACAUCAUAUACAAGUUGGAAAAGAAGAGCAGGAGAAACACAGUUUAACUCACGGUCACGGCAGGAUGAAGUUGACGAGCAGAGAAGUAGAGUUAGUCCCACAUCGAUAAGGUUGCAAGACAGAGGAGGCUGCGAUGCCUAUAAAACUGAAGGAUGGACGCCAGUACACGCAUACUUACCUGGACGGGGUCUAUGGGUGAUCAUGAAGGCCCAUGGCCUAGGCUGGUGACCUCCAUUGCACUGGGGAGGGGUGUCCGCCUAAGGUCUCCUCAAGUAGGAGAGCCUACGUCGUAAUUUGUGGCAGUGGGGGCCUGCGUUCGCGCGGCCCCUUCCUAUUUUAGUUCUGAAACCAAGGGACAUUUCUUGAGCACUACUACGAUCUCCAGUUGACGGUAACGGAUAUGAGGUAGAUGCGCGCUUACUGUUUGUUCAGUGGUUCUGCCAUCCUAGAGCACUACUACGAUCUCCUGUUGAUGUUAAUGGAUUGGCAACAAUUUUUUUUGUGUCGUUGAGGAAAUUAUAUAUGUUUUCAGCGUGGCUGUCUCUCAUACUUGCUGGUUUGAAGUUGGAGAGAAACGGGUGUGCCCUUGAAUUUGUUUCUCGGGGUUUACAAGAACUCUGCGGCAUCCUCAUGUUUGUUUUUGAAUCUGUUCAUGUUCCUGGUUUUAUGAUAAACUCAAUUCUCUCAUGAUUUUGUUUCUCUAAAGUUGUUCGUGUUACUUACUG